GGUUCGGUGGUGUAGUUGGUUAUCACGUCUGUCUCACAUACGUUGACCUGGCCGAGGGAAAGUGAUCACAGGAGGUCCCCGGUUCGAGCCCGGGCCGAACCA